rnacentral:rRNA from 1 species
CCUACGGGAGGCUGCAGUGGGGAAUAUUGGACAAUGGGGGGAACCCUGAUCCAGCCAUGCCGCGUGUGUGAAGAAGGCCCUCGGGUUGUAAAGCACUUUCAGUGAGGAAGAACGCCUGGUGGUUAAUACCCAUCAGGAAAGACAUCACUCACAGAAGAAGCACCGGCUAACUCCGUGCCAGCAGCCGCGGUAAUACGGAGGGUGCGAGCGUUAAUCGGAAUUACUGGGUGUAAAGCGCGCGUAGGUGGCUUGAUAAGCCGGUUGUGAAAGCCCCGGGCUCAACCUGGGAACGGCAUCCGGAACUGUCAAGCUAGAGUGCAGGAGAGGAAGGUAGAAUUCCCGGUGUAGCGGUGAAAUGCGUAGAGAUCGGGAGGAAUACCAGUGGCGAAGGCGGCCUUCUGGACUGACACUGACACUGAGGUGCGAAAGCGUGGGUAGCAAACAGGAUUAGAUACCCGAGUAGUC